GCCGAGGAUGCCCAACUGGCGGGGCGGAGGUCUGAUAAACCUCUUGGCUAACCGGCCUAUCAGGGUUCAAAUCCCUGCCUCGGCG
rnacentral:tRNA from 1 species